AAUCCAUUGGCAAAAGCCAUCUCGGAAAAGAACUGGGCCCAAGUGCGUGUGGAAUGUAUGAAGCGACCAAAGUAUGCACGACAAUGGAUCCGUAUCAAGAAUGAAACCAGCACACGCCGCAUCCUU
rnacentral:ribozyme from 1 species